GGACAAUACCAGAGAAAACUGGUCCAUCUUUGCAUGGACUCCCAACCUUUCUCUGACUGAGAAAACUUUGCUGGGAUUCCUUUUACAACGUGUCUUAAGAUCUCGAGUCAUCAGAACAAGAUUUGAGCUGAAAACUCUAGACAUUUAAGCGAUUGUCAUAAAAUGCCAAGACCCUAGCCCAAACUACAGUUUUGCUUCAGCUCAGAUUGAGAAGACUUGGCCUGUCAAAUUAAAGAGAAGUAAUUGCAGUGCAGAAUUGACGAUGCUUUCAACCUGGUUGCAGUUGUUCUUGACAUGUAUACGACUCACAAUUUCAUACAACUGAGACGCGUUUUGUGCCAUAAUACAUCGUCCUUUGGAAGCUAGCCACAUUGCAAGAUCAAUUCUUUUGUAUUAGAAUGGAACUGCUGUAAAUUUAUUGAUUGAUUGAAUAUGUAACAGUUAUGAGUUAUUCAGUUCAUAC
rnacentral:misc_RNA from 1 species